ACCACUCCCACAAACGUCCACGACCGCGCCUACAUAGUUUUGCAUGUUUACAAUUCUAAUUUUGAACAGCCAAUCAGGUUCUUGGUAAUUGGUUGUUUAAAGUUAGAAUUGUAAACAUGCAAUACUAUGUAGGCGCGGUCGUAGACGUUUGUGGGAGUGGU